AAGGAUUUGCAAAUCAUUGUAUUCUGUUUUUAUUUACGAAUUACACAACGUGCCAACUUCACUGGUUUUGGGGUGUGUAUUAACAUAUCCUAUAUGAAAAAGAUUCUGCAUUUUUUUUGCCUCUUAAGCACAGUGUGCAACCUCUCUCCCGUGCACUUUCAGCGGUAAAAGAAAAAAAAUAGAUGCAGUGCACGACUGCUUCUAAAAUGCUCAUAAAAAGUGGUACAUGUCCCAUGCUUGUUUAAAAAGAGAGCAUAAUGCUUUAGGUAGCAGCAUGAAAACAUGAAUGCGCAGUGAAUGAUCAAAUGUCUCCGUGGUGAUGCCUCGUAUAGUACACGGAAAAUCCACAUUUUAAAUAACGCGGCCUGCGCCAGUUUUUAAUAGCACGUGCAGUCUGAAAUGAGUGCACGCAACAAUAGCACUCACUAGUGUUGUCCCGAUACGAAUAUUUUGGUACCGGUAAAGGUAGCAAAAUUAUUUCGAUACUUUUCAGUACUUUUCUAAAUAAAGGGCACCACAAAAAAUUGCAUUAUUGCCUUUAUUUUAACAAAAAAUAUUAGAGUACUUUAAACAUAUGUUUCUUAUUGCUAGUUUGUCUUUAAAUAAAAUAGUGAACAUACAAGACAACUUGUCUUUUAGUAGUAAGUAAGCAAACAAAAGCUCCUAAUUAGUCUGCUGACAUAUGCAGUAACAUAUUGUGUCAUUUUCCAUUCUAUUAUUUUGUCAAAAUUAUUAAGGACAAGUGGUAGAAAUUGAAUUAUUAAUCUACUUGUUCAUUUACUGUUAAUAUCUGCUUACUUUCCCUUUUAACAUGUUCUAUCUACACUUCUGUUAAAAUGUAAUAAUCACUUAUUCUUCUCUUGUUUGAUACUUUAGCUUACCACCACCAGGUGUGAAUGAAUGAUGGCUUCCCACUUCUCCGCGAGCGCUUUGAGUAUCUAACAAUAGAAAAGCGCAAUAUAAAUCUAAUCCAUUAUUAAUAUUAUUACUUUACAUUAGUUUUGGAUGAUACCACAAAUUUGGGUAUCAAUCCAAUACCAAGUCACUACAGGAUCGUACAUCGGUCAUAUUCAAAGUCCUCAUGUGUCCACGGACAUAUUUCCUGAGUUUAUAAACAUAAUAUGAAUAAAAAUAAAAAAACCCCGAAAGAAGAUCUUGUGAUGCCAAAAAAUUGACCUACCAUAUUUCCUUGAAUUGCUGCCGGGGCGCUAAUUCAUUUAAAACAUCUUCUCACUUCUGCGCUUACCAAAGGAAUGCGGUAAAAGUAAGCAUGCGCUAAUUAUUUUAAAACCUCUUCUCACUCCGGCACUUACCAAAGGUAUGCGGUAAAAAUUUGAGUGUGAUGUAAGCUUGGACCUUAAAUCCUACUGAAUAGCUCUUAAUCUUCUUCCCUUUAUGCGAUUUCAAAUUACCGGUAUUGAAAUCAGCCUCCUCCAUUUUGAAAAUGAUGACAGGGGAAGUAUCACUCGUGACGUCACGAGUUUGACCAGGCGGUAAUACUAAGCAUGCGCUAAUUAUUUUGGGAAGCGAGUUUGACCCGGCAGUAAUUCAAGGCAGGCGCAUACUAUAUGCCCUGCGGCAAUUCAAGGAAAUACGGUAUUCAUAGUAGUAUCGACUACAUAUGCUACUGAAGUUGAUAUCAUUACAGUGGAUGUCAGGUGUAGAUCCACCAAUGGUAUUUGUUUACAUUUUGAUUCCGGUGAGCUACGGUGUGUAGUGAAACAUGUUUAGCUAUUCCUCGUCCUGCAGGGAUGAUACUUGUAAGAAACUCACUUUAUUAGUCGCCAUGGAGACGAGGAUUAAUGAUUUAGAAGUAGCUAAAACACUGCCGACUGGGGCUGGGCUUUAGCCGUUAGCUAGCUAGCCAUGUCUUAAAGCACUUCUUCCUGAAAGCAUUUCAGUGUUAUAACUUCACUUUUAUUUUUUAUUUAUUUUUUUAAGCCAAAAUGCGUCCGUUCUCCCUUUUCUGUCUACACACUGUGUCCGCUUGUAAGUACUCCAUGAUUGUGCACUGCCGAACAUGCUCCUUUGCUUGUAAACCAGCAAUGACAGGACUUAACGACGACUGAAGCGCGGGGUUGGGUGUGGCAGACCAAAACUUUUCAGAGGCGGUAUAGUACCGAAUAUGAUUCAUUGAUAUCGCGGUACUACACUAAUACCGGUAUACCGUACACCCCUAAUACACACUGUUUUAUUGUUUGCACACACUGUUUAGUGUGUGGUUUUUGAAACUUAGUAAAUCAGACCCCAAGUCUCACCGUCCCGCCUGCAUUGUUGGGCUCUUUGUCGUUCCAGUUAGUGUAAAGGACUGGACUGACGCCGUCACUCCAUGCGUACUGGUUUUCCACCAGUAUAUCAGACAUGCCGAUCCACGUGGGAGGCUGCAGGUCUCUCAGGAGCAGGCUGUUCUGAAAACAUCCCCCCGAGGACUCCUCAACGAUGGAUGCUUUUGACCUCCCACACUCCUCAAUGACACUUGGAGUCAAACUUUUGCUUGCAUGCAGAACGGCCCCAGGCCUAUGGACACUACAUCGACACACCCAAGACAAUGGGCAUACACACCAACUCCCCCAGCCCACGCCUUCACCGCCGCUUGAUUCCCCUUCGGGCUGAUGGACGGCUGACAGCGCUUUAUAGCAGCAGUCGACCUUCAGGGGUCCAACUAGCCCCCCUUCUGUUGCAAGUUGUUGUGAUGUAUGUAACAUGUUUAUGUGUGCAUGGCAUGGAGGUUUUUUCCCACUCGAGACUGGGCCCCCUUUUUUACUAAUCUUCUUCCCCAGCAUUUUACCUUUUUCCUAUCUUUUACAGGGCGCCUUGUGGCGACCCAUCAGCGUUCCUGUUCUGUAACCCUGUGCACUGUUUGUUUGUCUAAUCUUGAAUGGGUUUGUGCUGGAAACAAAGUUUCAUUGUACUUGUGCAAUGACAAUAAAUAUCAUUCCCAAGUCACAUAGUAGAA